GUGCCUUGCAGCCCCAAGCUGGGAAGCUUUCUGACCCUCUGGGUUGCCAUAUGAACAAAGACAUCAGCAACUCUGGGGACUAAAUGCUCCUGAGCAGAUGGCUUCUCCGGACACAGCCCCUAAUUUAGAAAUUGCACCAAAAAGCAUGUGGUGGACUGACAACUGGUGGUCAACUUGUAACACUCAGCUGACUGACAUUUCAACCCCUUUGAUCAUGAGCUAUCAUUCAAGCGAAGUUGGAAAGAAAUGGAAUAACAGCAAAUGUGAAAUGGACAGAUACUAUUUCCCUGGCAGUAGAGAAGAGGAUGCCAGGGAAAGACCCUUAAGGACAACCCAGAGGCAUAGGCAUUACCAGCACCAUUCUACAGAUGAGGAAACUGAGCCAGUGAAGACAACAGACUUGCUGGAGGUCACAUAACUAGGAAGAAAAGCUGUCAGGAUUUGAACUCAACCAGCAUGUGUUCAGCCCAUGUGAUAAAUAAAAAAUAAAUAAAUAAAAAAUAAAAUAAAAAAUAAAAAUAAAAAAUACA